rnacentral:SRP_RNA from 1 species
CCGUGCUAGACGGGGAGUCAGCGGUGCCCUGUAACCUGCAAGCCGCUAUAGCAGGGUCGAACGCCAGCCGAGGAUGUGUCCUUGUGGAGCAGCCUGCGGCAAGUGCCGAUGACGAAUGAGUCCGGUGCAAUGGUGACCUGCGAACCGCGCCAGAUCCGGAAGGAAGCAGCGCUAAGGAGGACCCAUCAUGUGCCAUCGGGUAGCUUGUUCUGAGAGAACUACCGGAGUAACGUCUGGGAGGCAUAGACAGAGCUGGUGCACGG